UUUCGCAAUGCCCGAAAGGGUGACGAAGCGACGCCGCGUGCGGGAAGAAGGCCUUCGGGUUGUAAACCGCUGUCGGGAGUUAGGAAGUGCAAGGAUGUUAAUAGCGUUCUUGCUUGACUAAGGCUCCGGAGGAAGCCACGGCUAACUCUGUGCCAGCAGCCGCGGUAAUACAGAGGCGGCAAGCGUUGUUCGGAAUUAUUGGGCGUAAAGAGCACGUAGGCGGCUGUGUAAGUCGGUUGUGAAGGCCUUCCGCUUAACGGAAGAACGGCAUCCGAUACUGCAUAGCUUGAGUGCGGGAGGGGAGAGUGGAACUUCUGGUGGAGCGGUGAAAUGCGUAGAUAUCAGAAGGAACACCGGCGGCGAAGGCGACUCUCUGGUCCGUAACUGACGCUGAGUGUGCGAAAGCUAGGGGAGCAAACGGGAUUAGAUACCCCGGUAGUCCUAGCCGUAAACGAUGGGCACUAAGUAGAGGGGUUUU
rnacentral:rRNA from 1 species